rnacentral:rRNA from 1 species
UACCACGUGAACGAUGAAGGUCUUCUGAUUGUAAAGUUCUUUUACUUAGGAAAAAAAGCUUGACAGGAAAUGGUUAAGCCUUGAUCGUACUAGGUGAAUAAGUGACAGCUAACUAUGUGCCAGCAGCUGCGGUAACACAUAGGUCACAAGCAUUAUCCGGAUUUAUUGGGCGUAAAGGAAGCGUAGGCGGACAGUCUGAUCCAUUGUUAAAUGCACUUGCUCAACAAGUGUAUGCAGUGGAGAUCUCCUGUCUAGAAUUAAUUAGGAGAAACUGGAAUUCAAUGUGUAGUGGUGGAAUACGUAGAUAUAUUGAGGAACACCAAAGGCGAAAGCAAGUUUCUAGGAUAUAAUUGACGCUGAGGCUUGAAAGCGUGGGGAGCAAAUGGGAUUAGAUACCCCAGUAGUCCACGCCGUAAACGAUGGGUAUUUGGUAUUUGGGCUGGACCUGAGUGCCGGAGCUAACGCGUUAAAUGCCCCGCCUGGGUAGUAUAUAUGCAAAUAUGAAACUCAAAGAAAUUGACGGGGAUCUGAACAAGUGGUGGAGCAUGUUGCUUAAUUCGAUAAUACACGAAAAACCUUACCAAGGCUUGUAAUCUUCUGCAAAAGUGUAGAAAUACAGUGGAGUAUAUCAGAAUGACAGGUGGUGCAUGGCUGUCGUCAGCUCGUGUCUUGAGAUGUUUGGUUAAGUCCCGUAACGAGCGCAACCCCUCUCAUUAGUUAAUUAGUUCUAAUGUGACUGAAUCGUAAGAUAUAGGAAGGAUGGGGCCAAGUCAAGUCAUCAUGCCCCUUAUGCCUUGGGCUGCAAACGUGCUACAAUGGUAGGUACAAUGUGUUGCAACUUAGCGAUAAUGAGCUAAUCACCG